rnacentral:lncRNA from 1 species
CAUACAUGUGCAUGUCAGCAUACAAAGACAUAACAAGAUUAUGUCUUCCAUUAACAAACUACAUCCCCUAGCACUCUAUAUCUCCUUUAAUACAACACAGUACACUUCAGAAAUGAACUGAAAUAAUGAAACAAUUCAUUUUCAAUUUCUUCGUGCAGUGAAUGUUGGGAGGAAACAUGCACAACAUUGAAGGAGAUAUAAGACAAAUCUCACACUUCCCCUUCUAUAUAAACCACAUAGUCCCAAAAGACAAGCCCUUUCUGAGGACACCAUAACACUUCUUUUGGCCGCUUCUUUCCACUUCAGGAGCUUGUGGCACUUUUUCUUCAUUUUGAGAAUCCCACAGCUCUUUUUCCAGACUGCCUGUGCCAGUUCCCUCUGCCAAGCCUAGAACCCAGCCCUUCCCUGCUGAGCCUGGGCUGCUCCCUGAUCUUCUGCUGUGUUGGUCCUUCUGCUGCAAAGGAGGUGACUUGUUCCACACAACUGCACUCUGCUUACAAGGGGAACUCGUCUGUCUCGGUGCUUCCUGCUCGACCUCUUCAGUGCCAUGAACACCGCCAGGACCUUCUGCCCCAUCCAAGGGUGAGCGCAUGGGGCAUCUCCGGCUGGUCCCACAGCAGUGGCUCUCUGGAGACGCAAGGCUGCUGACUGCACCUCCCGAAGGGUCAUGCCACGUUCUCCCCAGUUUUCACAGACCACCCCUGCCACACAUUACUGUGCCUGAAGGAGAGAUGCAUACAUCACACUUUUCCUUGCGGAAUUCCAGAAACAUGAAGGCUUUUCUUCAAAGAAAAAGAAGAGAAAAUUAUUUGAAAGAGAAAUUUUCAGCCUGCAAAAGCGGACAUAUCUAUUUGCAGAAGGUGGACUUUUAA